rnacentral:rRNA from 1 species
UACGUAGGGCGCGAGCGUUGUCCGGAAUUAUUGGGCGUAAAGAGCUCGUAGGCGGUCUGUCGCGUCGGAUGUGAAAGCCCGGGGCUUAACCCCGGGUCUGCAUUCGAUACGGGCAGACUAGAGUGUGGUAGGGGAGAUCGGAAUUCCUGGUGUAGCGGUGAAAUGCGCAGAUAUCAGGAGGAACACCGGUGGCGAAGGCGGACCUCUGGGCCUUACCUGACGCUGAGGCGCGAAAGCUAGGGGAGCAAACAGG